rnacentral:lncRNA from 1 species
GUUUCGUACAUAUGGAAUUGUGGCUUGUUUUCAAAAAGGACUUGAGAAAAAAAAAGGAUGCAUAUGAACGGACUAGGCCAACAUGUUGAGGAACUUGAACAACAUGAUUUUUUAUUCACUGGAUGGUUAAUUGUGCCGACAAGCAGAGUUGCAAACUUACAACAACAACUCUUACAAACUUUACAAACUUUUUGGAGCAAAAAAACACUCAAGAAUGUCAGACCCAUGGCAGAGGAAAAAAAGUAUGGACAUAGAACCAACUUUUUUCUGAUUGGCUUAUACGAUUUGAACGUCACAAGCCUGUAUGGGAGAACUUACAUGGAUGAGCUCUGCCGAUAAGAUUUAACAGUUGAGAUGCCUGGGGAUCAAAAUACAAACCCGUAAGAUUUUGUUUUACCUUCAAGACUUGACUGGAACUACUUGAAUCAUCAGCAUGCACUCCCUGGGUGACAGCGUACUCAACCCACUGCCUGACAAAAGCUGCAUCUUCUACAUUAGCACCUGCAAGCUUCUUCGCAUAUUUACGACUCAAAGCAAGAGCUGUCCAGCCUGGUAAAUUUUCAGAAUUAAGGUGCGGCAACUGGAACAAUAGUUGAAACAUUUAUUUUAAAACCCAUACAAUUAUAGAUGAUCUCCACAUGAUAUGAAUUUCUUCAACACAUUUAUCUUCAUGAUUUUCCAAAACCAAUGAGUAAAAAUGCUUGUUUUAUUAAUGAUUUUUCAAGGAGAUCUUUCAAAUAAAGUGAUCUUGGAAAGAAAAUUUUCGGGACACUUUUUCCAAUGAGGGUGUAGUUUCUUUCAUAUCUUUCAUUUAAAUUUCUAGCUCAUCAAAAAAUUAAAAAAGAAAAUAUAAAAAGAAAUCAUUAGGUAUGUUCUACUGGUUUACUGUGAGCUACCGAAACAGGUCUGGUAAAACCCUUAUUGAAAACUAUAGGAACUUUUAUGCUCCAUUUAGCUCUAAUUAUACCAGCAAAUUUUUAGUAGGAUAAGAAUCUCCCCUUCUGGUAAAUGAUACGCCUAAAUUUCCUUCUAUCAAAUUUAAUGAAAAAGUGUGCGUUGACAAAUGUAAGUAGUUUUACCGACUGCAAAAAGAGGUGGUCGCACUUAUAGACGCUAUUAGUGGCACGUCACAAAAAAGCGAUAUAUAUUGAUUAAUAUCGCACAUUGGUAGCAUUGAAAAGGUUUGGCAAAAGUUAUUGUUUGGAUCCGAUUCGAUAUAAUGGAGAAUCUCUAGGAUGAUGUUGCCACUAAUAGCGUCCAUAGUGGGAGAAAACCGAAUCAGCUCAUCACAUGAGUGCUGGAACUUGGAUCAGAUAAGUUGACACCUGUUGUUUACUUUUGUGUAGCUUGUGCAGUAGACCUUCUGAAGUACUCAUCCACAGCAAUUUUGUUAACUUUAGUCAAUUCUUGAUUGUUACUAUAAGAUGGAUGCGCACUUGUUUGCAAAAAAAAAGUAAACAAGUGCCAACUUGGCUGACGCAAGCUCUGAGAAUGGCCCUGCUUGGUGGUGUACAGCACAUUAGAAACUAAGAUAAUUUUACAAUUCUUGUGGAGCUACGAACCUUCAUUGAUGACAAUUGGGCAGAAAACUCUUUAGGAACAUUAAAAUACCGAUACAAGGAAGAAAGUGACUGUUUCGUGUCUAUGACCAUGUUUGAAAAGCUGCUGUGAAUUCGGUGAGGAAUUUGGAUUACUUGGCGCACAGAAACUGAAAUGGAUGGAAGAGAUAUUUGUCUGAUGAUAAUACUGGGUAUCACUGUCGGAGAAAGUGACGGAAAAACGCUUUUUGAUUUGUUUUCACAAAAUUAUUGUCUACAGUAGUCUGCAAUCUGCAAAAAGUGGAAUUGCAAGUAUUUUGUUAGAGGUUAUGUUUUUGUUGAUUUACCAGUUGCCUGUUUAGACUGAUAGAGUGCGCUGGCAGCGCGCCGCGCGCCUAAUCGACAAAUCUCUUUUUCUUUUCGAUGAUUCAGUUCCGAGGUGACCGUGGCGCGUGAGACUUGUGUCGGUCGUCGCUGUGUGUGUUGUUGUUGUCUUAUCAACUUUUGCGGUAGUGUUGGUGUUUUCAUAACUCGUUGUGACAAUUUCUUUACUCUUGAAGUGUUACCGUGCUUUGUAAACUAGUGUCACACUGUCAUUUUUGAUUCAGUGCCCAUUUACUUUGGAUUAAUUGGAUUCUCCAGGCAGCGGAACAGGUGUAUUUCGUCUCAGAGGCACAG